AUGUUCAAUGUUUGUUUUCUAAAUAUUAUAAGUGGGAUUUUAAAUUGGAGGAAAAUCUUACAAAUUCUCCAAAAGCAAAUAGCAAGAACAAAUGCUAGAAAUAGAAAACAAUUGAAGAUUCCACGUACACUCGGAUCUGAGUCGAUUGCAAGGAAGCGAAAUAAGUUGGAAUUAAGAGACGGACGGGCAUAUAGAAGAGGAGAAAUGUAUACAAUUUAUCAUAAAAAAAUUGACGGAUCAUUUGUCAAUGAAGAUGUCUACAACAAUAAUAUAAGUGUAACUUAA